rnacentral:misc_RNA from 1 species
GCCAUGCAAAAAAACAUCAUCAUCAAAUUAAAAACCAGUGUAAAGCUACAGGGCAAAAAAAAGAGUUUGUGGCUCCAAAACUAAAAAAUGUACUGCUAAAAGUUCAUGCAUCUAGUUGAAGGUAUUUUCAAUAAACAUCAGCCAACCAUUUGAAUAAAGAUGGAAAGGACACAUAUAAUUACAUGCAUGAUAAAGGGAAAAUGGCUUAAGUUUGCAAUGUGACACAAAUCCCUGAGAUCAAAAUGCAGAGACGAAUAACCAAUCUUACUUCUUAACGGAAAAAGCAAAAGAAUUCCAUAAGGAAUAUAUAAUGAUUUGGAAUUACAGACAUAUGUAUGCCUUUGGGCAUAAAAGUCCUUUCAAAUUCCCCUUUUUCAGUGGUAAUGAAAUGACCGCAUCUUUAAGGGCCAGGUUAUCUUUCAAACUUUCCUGGCUUCUUUGUGCCCUUUUAAUUCAAAGAGCAUUUUGGACAGUGUCACUUUAGUAUGAAUACAGGCAAACACUUAUUAAUAGUUAGUUUCUUUACAUAUUGCUCACUGGAAGAAACAUAAUGUGGUACUCUGAAAAAACAAAUAAGUUGUAUGCCAUGCAAUCAGGGGCGGAUCCACCAUGGGGCAGUGGGGGGCAAGUUGCCCCCACUGGCUUCAAAAAUCCUAUGUAGAGUUUGCGUUUUUAUAAAUUUGUGCCCACUCAAUUAUUUCUCCUUGUUGUUUAAAUUGCCCUCACUAUAUAGAGCACGUGUUUUUAUAAAUUUGCCCCCACUCAAUUAUUUCUCUUUGCCCACACUCAAUUGCUUCAAUUGUCCCACUUUGUAAAAUUAGUGAUUCAUUUUAAGUUUUAUUUCUACGCAAAUGUAAUUAUUUUUAUUUAUACAAAUCUCAUUUACUUAAAGUGAUUUAUUCUAAAUUUUAUUUAUAUGUACUCAAUUUUUUUUAUUUAUACAAACAUAUAUGUUUUGUGUGCAUCGCCCCACAAACAAAAUUUUCUAGAUCCGCCAGUACAUGCAGAGUAUAGUUAUCUAGUUAUCUUAUAGAAAUAGUACCACAUAGCACAGGAAAAAAUCCAACAAAACAAUUCUACCCAAUUAUCAUCGAAAGACAAUGAGUCAUUCUAUGUAGAAUAAUACAACAGCAAAUCACUGAAGCCCAAUUUCUUUUUUCUUCAACAUUAUAGCAUGGAAUCUGAACUAGAGAGAAAACUCUAGUAAAAUAAAAUUAAUAGGUAUAGUUACUACCUUCUUGAUCGACGUUUGGAUCUCUUAUCACGUCUCUUUCGCCUUUUUUCACGCCGUUUAUCUCUUCUUUUUCCACGUCUAUACUUGUCUCUUUUAGAAGAUCU